rnacentral:rRNA from 1 species
UGGGGAAUUUUGGACGAAUUGGGCGAAAGCCUGAUCCAGCAAUGCCGCGUGUGUGAAGAAGGCCUUCGGGUUGUAAAGCACUUUUGUCCGGAAAGAAAUCCUUGGCUCUAAUACAGUCGGGGGAUGACGGUACCGGAAGAAUAAGCACCGGCUAACUACGUGCCAGCAGCCGCGGUAAUACGUAGGGUGCAAGCGUUAAUCGGAAUUACUGGGCGUAAAGCGUGCGCAGGCGGUUUGCUAAGACCGAUGUGAAAUCCCCGGGCUCAACCUGGGAACUGCAUUGGUGACUGGCAGGCUAGAGUAUGGCAGAGGGGGGUGAGAAUUCCACGUGUAGCAGUGAAAUGCGUAGAGAUGUGGAGGAAUACCGAUGGCGAAGGCAGCCCCCUGGCAAGUACUGACGCUCAUGCACGAAAGCGUGGGGAGCAAACGGAUUAAUACCCU